rnacentral:hammerhead_ribozyme from 1 species
AUCUAGUUGAUAAGUCCCAAAUAGGACGAAACGUGCGUCCUUAAU